GCUAGUAAUCGUAGGUCAGCAUACUACGGUGAAUACGUUCCCGGGCCUUGUACACACCGCCCGUCAAACCAUGAGAGUUGGCAACACCCGAAGUCGGUAGUCUAACCGCAAGGAGGACGCCGCCGAAGGUGGGGUUNAUGAUUAGGGUUAAGUCGUAACAAGGUACC
rnacentral:rRNA from 1 species